rnacentral:rRNA from 1 species
UACGGGGGGGGCAAGCGUUGUUCGGAAUUACUGGGCGUAAAGGGCUCGUAGGUGGCCAACUAAGUCAGACGUGAAAUCCCCAGGCUCAACUUGGGAACUGCGUCUGAUACUGGAUGGCUUGAAUUCGGGAGAGGGAUGCAGAAUUCCAGGUGUAGCGGUGAAAUGCGUAGAUAUCAGGAGGAACACCGGUGGCGAAGGCGGUUCUCUGGGCAUUACCUGACGCUGAGGAGCGAAAGUGUGGGGAGCGAACAGG